CAGCACCUCAAGUGGUCAGGAUGAUUAUUGGGCCUAAAGCAUCCGUAGCCGGCUCUGUUAGUUUUCGGUUAAAUCUGUACGCUUAACGUACAGGCUGCCGGGAAUACUGCAGAGCUAGGGAGUGGGAGAGGUAGACGGUACUCGGUAGGAAGGGGUAAAAUCCUUUGAUCUAUUGAUGACCACCUGUGGCGAAGGCGGUCUACCAGAACACGUCCGACGGUGAGGGAUGAAAGCUGGGGGAGCAAACCGGAUUAGAUACCCGAGUAGUCC
rnacentral:rRNA from 1 species